rnacentral:rRNA from 1 species
AUUGAACGCUGGCGGCAGGCCUAACACAUGCAAGUCGAGCGGAGCGGCGGACGGGUGAGUAAUGCCUAGGAAUCUGCCUGGUCGUGGGGGAUAACGUCCGGAAACGGGCGCUAUUACUGCAACCUUUCAGUUGAGCCUAGGUCGGAUUAGCUAGUUGGUGGGGUAAAGGCAUAGCAAGGCGACGAUCCGUAACUGGUCUGAGAGGAUGAUCAGUCACACUGGAACGGAGACACGGUCCAGACUCCUACGGGAGGCAGCAGUGGGGAAUAUUGGACAAUGGGCGAAAGCCUGAUCCAGCCAUGCCGCGUGUGUGAAGAAGGUCUUCGGAUUGUAAAGCACUUUAAGUUGGGAGGCGUUACCAACAGAAUAAGCACCGGCUAACUUCGUGCCAGCAGCCGCGGUAAUAC